rnacentral:lncRNA from 1 species
AGAAGACAAAGAUCUUGGUUAUGAAGGAUGUGCGUUUUAAAUAAUUAAUUUACUUAAUUCGAUUUCAAUAAAAAAAUAGGAUUUGAAUAAUUAAUUUAAUUAAUUAAUUUAAUUAAAAAAAUAGGUGGAUUUGUGAGACAACCCGAUCCACCACGGGUUCAACCCGUGUAAACUGGGUUUUUAGUGAGCCGGGUCAAAAUUGGCUCGCAUCAAAAUUUUCGCAUUUUCUUUUUCAACCCAACCUGAC